UUGCACAAUAAUUGAUAAAUGUUGUGUGAAGUUGCGGCACAGAGUUAUUGUUUCCGUUUCAGCCCCUGCCUCCCACUGAGCACUCCCACAAGACUGAGCGAGUGAAUGACUUGAAAUCCCGAGCCGUCUUAACUUUCAGUAUUACAACUAAAGCCAAAUAACACAAACCCUGCUUGAUAAAGCUGCUGGAUUCCUCCACCUUUUGCUUUGAUGACAGCUUUGUACACUAUUGACAAUAUCUUGACCAGCUCCAUGAGGUCGUCACUUGGAUGGUUGUCCAACAGCCUUGAAGGAGUUCCUACAUUGCUGAGCACUUGUUAGCUGCUUUUCCUUCACUCUGUGGUCCAACUCAUCCCAAACCAUCUCAGUUGGGUUUAGGUCGGGUGAUUGUGGAGGCCGGGUCAUCUGACACAGCCCUCCAUCACUCUCCUUCUUGGUCAGACAGCUCUUACAGAGCCUGGAGGUGUGUUUUGGGUCAUUUCCCUGUUGAAAAACAAAUGAUGAUCCCACCAAGCGCAAACCAGAUGGGAUGAUGUGUCACUGCAGGAUGUUGCGGUAGCCAUGCUGGUUAAGUGUGCCUUUUACUCUGAUUAAAUCACCAACAGUGUCAACAGCAAUAUUUAACAAUUUAUUCAUUCUUUGAUAUGUGACUUGUUUGAGAAUUACUUUUAAUUUGUAAAAAUAAAAAUAUGGAUUUUUGUCUUGAAA